rnacentral:rRNA from 1 species
UACAGAGGUCCCGAGCGUUGUUCGGAUUCACUGGGCGUAAAGGGUGCGUAGGUGGCUGGGAAAGUUUGAUGUGAAAGCUCAGGGCUUAACCCUGAAAUGGCAUUGAAUACUACUUGGCUGGAGGCUUGGAGGGGGGACUGGAAUACUUGGUGUAGCAGUGAAAUGCGUAGAUAUCGUAAGGAAGACCAGUGGCGAAGGCGGGUCUCUGGACAGUUCCUGACGCUGAGGCACGAAGGUCAGGGGAGCAAACGGG